rnacentral:rRNA from 1 species
GACAGAGGGUGCAAUCGUUGUUCGGAUUUACUGGGCGUAAAGCGCGUGUAGGCGGCUUUGCAAGUCGGAUGUGAAAGCCCACGGCUCAACCGUGGAAGUGCAUCCGAAACUGCAUGGCUGGAGUCUCGGAGAGGAAGGUGGAAUGCUUGGUGUAGAGGUGAAAUUCGUAGAUAUCAAGCAGAACACCUGCGGCGAAGGCGGCCUUCUGGACGAUGACUGACGCUGAGACGCGAAAGCGUGGGGAGCAAACAGG